CAGCCGCCGCGGUAAUACGAAGGGUGCAAGCGUUACUCGGAAUUACUGGGCGUAAAGCGUGCGUAGGCGGUUGGUUAAGUCUGCUGUGAAAGCCCUGGGCUCAACCUGGGAACUGCAGUGGAAACUGGCCAGCUAGAGUGUGUCAGAGGAUGGUGGAAUUCCCGGUGUAGCGGUGAAAUGCGUAGAGAUGUGGAGGAACACCAGUGGCGAAGGCGACUCUCUGGUCUGUAACUGACGCUGAGGAGCGAAAGCGUGGGGAGCGAACGGGAUUAGAUACCCCGGUAGUCCCUGUCUCUUAUAC
rnacentral:rRNA from 1 species